rnacentral:rRNA from 1 species
GACGAAGGGGGCAAGCGUUGUUCGGAAUUACUGGGCGUAAAGGGCGCGUAGGCGGCCUGCUAAGUCGAACGUGAAAUCCCCGGGCUCAACCCGGGAACUGCGUCCGAUACUGGCAGGCUUGAAUCCGGGAGAGGGAUGUGGAAUUCCAGGUGUAGCGGUGAAAUGCGUAGAUAUCUGGAGGAACACCGGUGGCGAAGGCGGCAUCCUGGACCGGCAUUGACGCUGAGGCGCGAAAGCCAGGGGAGCAAACGGG